UGGGGAAUUUUGGACAAUGGGCGAAAGCCUGAUCCAGCCAUGCCGCGUGUGUGAAGAAGGUCUUCGGAUUGUAAAGCACUUUAAGUUGGGAGGAAGGGCAGUAAGCGAAUACCUUGCUGUUUUGACGUUACCGACAGAAUAAGCACCGGCUAACUCUGUGCCAGCAGCCGCGGUAAUACAGAGGGUGCAAGCGUUAAUCGGAAUUACUGGGCGUAAAGCGCGCGUAGGUGGUUCGUUAAGUUGAAUGUGAAAGCCCCGGGCUCAACCUGGGAACUGCAUCCAAAACUGGCGAGCUAGAGUAGGGCAGAGGGUGGUGGAAUUUCCUGUGUAGCGGUGAAAUGCGUAGAUAUAGGAAGGAACACCAGUGGCGAAGGCGACCACCUGGGCUCAUACUGACACUGAGGUGCGAAAGCGUGGGGAGCAAACAGG
rnacentral:rRNA from 1 species